UGGAUCUUGUACCCAUGUUGAAAACUGAGCAAUUCAAAAACAGAAUACACCAAAUAAAUUAUAAUUGAUCAAAACCCUAAACCGGAUUAUGGCAAAUAUCACAUGAACACAUAACAAAACCUCUUAUCUCUUGUGCUCUCAACAAACUUAUACACAAGCAAAAGAUCAGACUAUCUAAACUCACUCACCUAAGUUUGACUUGCAUGCAACAAGUGCACAUAGGCGCACAGUCAUGUUAUAAGACAAAUUUCUUAGUACAAAAAAUCAGCAUUCAAUAGUGGAAGUUGGACACUGAAAUAGAAACAACUCUUAUUUUUAACAACUACCAUUUUUCCCCUAAAUGAGAAACAAUUACUAUCUAAAUUAUACUCUAUUUCUUUUCUGACCAAGCAUUUCUUAAGUUGCAUUCGGUGAACUUCUGAAUAUAAUCGUGUUGAACUAAAUCCAUUGUAGAACUUAAACUAUUACUAGAUGGAAUCAUAAACGAAAAUCAGAAAAUAAAUUUCCAAAAUGGACGAUAUCCCACGCUUAUUAAAUUCACAAAGAAUUCCAUAAAUCUAAAAUGAAAGCAUUACUAGAUUAGCCGGGUCCCAUAAAAUUCAAAAACCAGAGAAAAAAAAUACAAAACCAAUUCCUUUUCCCACAGAUUCUGAGCAGCCAAACAAAACUAGACAGUCAAAUUCACACAUCAAAAAGAAAACCCCAAACAAAAAAUCAUAUAGCGCGAUAAAAAUUACAAAAAUUCAAACAACUAAAAACGAUUAUAAAAACAAAAUCCAACAGCAAUCAUGUGCUUAAGAUCAAAAUCA
rnacentral:misc_RNA from 1 species